UAACCUUUCAAAUGUUUUUUGGUGUGGUGGUUCAGCACUUCGUCCCUUAAGCAUGAGGUUGGGGGUUC